rnacentral:rRNA from 1 species
GGAGUUAGCCGGUGCUUCUUCUGCGAGUAACGUCACAGAUGUAAGGUAUUAACUUACACCCUUUCCUCCUCGCUGAAAGUGCUUUACAACCCGAAGGCCUUCUUCACACACGCGGCAUGGCUGCAUCAGGGUUUCCCCCAUUGUGCAAUAUUCCCCACUGCUGCCUCCCGUAGGAGUCUGGGCCGUGUCUCAGUCCCAGUGUGGCUGAUCAUCCUCUCAGACCAGCUAGGGAUCGUCGCCUAGGUGAGCCUUUACCUCACCUACUAGCUAAUCCCACCUGGGCUUAUCCAUCAGCGCAAGGCCCGAAGGUCCCCUGCUUUCCCCCGUAGGGCGUAUGCGGUAUUAGCAGUCGUUUCCAACUGUUAUCCCCCACAAAUGGGCAAAUUCCCAGGCAUUACUCACCCGUCCGCCGCUCGUCAUCUUCAAAAGCAAGCUUUUGAAAUGUUACCGCUCGACUUGCAUGUGUUAGCGUCGCCGCCACGCGUCAUCUGAGCAUAUACAACACUACUACGAGAGNGGCGGCGCGACGACGCG